rnacentral:lncRNA from 1 species
CCCUAAACCGGUAGUUUUGCACAGAAAAAAAAACCCUUGCGGUUUUUCCCUCUCAUGUGAGGGUUUUUUCCCCUCCUUGAGCUACCACCUUACCGUGGUGGAGGGGUUUGUGUGUCCCAAUGAUCCCAGGAGCUAUGUUGUCAGGGCUUUAUGCCUCUGAAAGGUCACCCAAGGCAAACAGGUCCUGGGGGAGUGACCAGACUAAGAGUAGCUCAUCCAGACAGAGGUGCCAGGCAGAAAAAUAGGAAAAAAAAAACUGAAGAAAAAAAAACAAAAAAAAAAACUAAAAAAAGAGAAAGGAUAGUAUAAACAAAAUAAAAAAAGAAGGAAAAGUAUUUCAGAAAAGAACAACCUAUAUAUAUAUAUAAAUAACAAAAAACUAAAAAAAAGCUAAAAAACAAACUUAAAACAGGCAGAAAAAAAUAAAGAAAACUAAAAAAAGAGAAAGAAUAGUAUAAACAAAAAAAAAAAAAACAGAAGGAAAAGUAUUUCAGAAAAGAACAACCUAUAUAUAUAUAUAACAAAAAAACUAAAAAAAACUAAAAAACAAACUUAAAACAGGCAGAAAAAAUAAAGAAAACUAAAAAAAGAGAAAGAAUAGUAUAAACAAAAAAAAACAGAAGGAAAAGUAUUUCAGAAAAGAACAACCUAUAUAUAUAUAUAUAUAUAUAUAUAUAUAUAUAUAUAUAGAAAAACUAAAAGAAAAAACUGAAAAAAAACUUUAAACAGGCAGAAAAAAAACUAAAGAAAACUAAAAAAAGAGAAAGGAUAGUAUAAACAAAAUAAAAAACAAACAAAAGGAAAAGUAUUUCAGAAAAGAACAACCUAUAUAAAUAUAUAUAACAAAAAAACUAAAAAAAACUUAAAAAAAAACUUAAAACAGGCAGAAAAAAAUAAAGAAAACUACAAAGGAGAAAGAAUAGUAUAAACAAAAACAAAAAAACAGAAAGAAAAGUAUAUCUGAAAAAAACACCCUAAAUAUAUAUAUUUAUAACAAAAAACUAAAAGAAAAAACUAAAAAACAAACUUAAAACAGGCAGAAUAAAACUAAAGAAAACUAUAAAAAGAGAAAGGAUAGUAUAAACAAAAUAAAAAAAACAGAAGGAAAAGUAUAUCUGACAAAACACCCUAAAUAUGUAUAAAUAUAUAUAUAUAUAACAAAAAAACUAAAGAAAACAAAAAAAUAGAGAAAAGAUUAGUAUUUUAAAAAAUUUUUUUAAAAAAAACUUAAAACAGG